CUACGGAGGGGGUUAGCGUUGUUCGGAAUUACUGGGCGUAAAGCGUACGUAGGCGGACUGAUCAGUUGGGGGUGAAAUCCCAGGGCUUAACCCUGGAACUGCCUUCAAUACUGUCAGUCUUGAGUUUGGGAGAGGUGAGUGGAAUUCCUAGUGUAGAGGUGAAAUUCAUAGAUAUUAGGAGGAACACCAGUGGCGAAGGCGGCUCACUGGCCCAUUACUGACGCUGAGGUACGAAAGCGUGGGGAGCAAACAGGAUUAGAAACCCUAGUAGUCC
rnacentral:rRNA from 1 species